rnacentral:rRNA from 1 species
UGGGGAAUAUUGCACAAUGGGCGCAAGCCUGAUGCAGCGACGCCGCGUGGGGGAUGAAGGCUUUCGGGUUGUAAACCUCUUUCGCUAUCGAACAAGGCCCGCUUAGGGUGGGUUGAGGGUAGGUGGAGAAGAAGCGCCGGCUAACUACGUGCCAGCAGCCGCGGUAAUACGUAGGGCGCGAGCGUUGUCCGGAAUUAUUGGGCGUAAAGGGCUUGUAGGCGGCUUGUUGCGCCUGCUGUGAAAACGCGGGGCUUAACUUCGCGCGUGGAGUGGGUACGGGCAGGCUUGAGUGUGGUAGGGGUGACUGGAAUUCCAGGUGUAGCGGUGGAAUGCGCAGAUAUCUGGAGGAACACCGAUGGCGAAGGCAGGUCACUGGGCCAUUACUGACGCUCAGGUGCGAAAGCGUGGGGAGCAAACAGG